UACGAAGGGGGCUAGCGUUGCUCGGAAUCACUGGGCGUAAAGCGCACGUAGGCGGUUUGCUAAGUCAGGGGUGAAAUCCUGGAGCUCAACUCCAGAACUGCCUUUGAUACUGGCGGACUUGAGUCCGGGAGAGGUGAGUGGAACUGCGAGUGUAGAGGUGAAAUUCGUAGAUAUUCGCAAGAACACCAGUGGCGAAGGCGGCUCACUGGCCCGGUACUGACGCUGAGGUGCGAAAGCGUGGGGAGCAAAGCAGG
rnacentral:rRNA from 1 species